rnacentral:lncRNA from 1 species
AAGCUCACACCUUUCCUUGAAACUGCUCCUUCAGCUUAUUCAAGCUUGUUUGGAGGUCUCAUAAGUUUGAGCCGAUGUUGAGCAGGGGAAGCAAAAUCAAUGGUCCCUUAAGACUUAGGCUCAUGAUACCAUUUGUUUGAACAAUGGCAGCAGCAAAAAGAAAAAGAACAAGACAGAGAACAAAGGAGGAAGAAACAAAAACAAUUUACUUGCUCACAAACGUGCAGCAAGG